GACGAACGCUGGCGGCGUGCUUAACACAUGCAAGUCGAACGGAAAGGCCCUGCUUUUGUGGGGUGCUCGAGUGGCGAACGGGUGAGUAACACGUGAGUAACCUGCCCUUGACUUUGGGAUAACUUCAGGAAACUGGGGCUAAUACCGGAUAGGAGCUCCUGCUGCAUGGUGGGGGUUGGUAAGUUUCGGCGGUUGGGGAUGGAAUCGCGGCUUAUCAGCUUGUUGGUUGGGUAGUGGCUUACCAAGGCUUUGACGGGUAGCCUAGCUGGGAGGGUAACCGGCCACAUCGGGACGGAAAUGCGGCACAGACUCCUACGGGAGGCAGCAGUGGGGAAGAGUACACAAGGGGAGGAAGCCUGAUGCGACAACGCAGCGUGCGGGAUGACGUCAUUCGGUUUGUAUACCACUGUCGCCUGUGACGAAACGUGAGUGACGGUACUGGGUAAAGAAGCACCGGCUAACUACGUG
rnacentral:rRNA from 1 species